rnacentral:rRNA from 1 species
GUUAACUAUGGAUCGUGAGACGUGGUAAGUCGUAGGGUGCGAGGGUGGGCCGGGAUUAGUGGGCUUAAAGGGAGUGUAGGCGGGUUGUGGUGUCUGGGGUGAAAAGCCGGGGCUCAAGCCCGGACUUGCAGUGGGUACGGGCAGACUAGAGUGGGGUAGGGGAGACUGGAAUUCCUGGUGUAGCGGUGAAAUGCGCAGAUAUCAGGAGGAACACCGAUGGCGAAGGCAGGUCUCUGGGCCACUACUGACGCUGAGAAGCGAAAGCAUGGGGAGCGAACAGGAUUAGAUACCCUUGUAGUC